rnacentral:rRNA from 1 species
UACUACCGAAGCUACGGCAUCAGUAAUGAUGGGUAGGGGAGCUUCCCAUACGGGUUGAAGCAUGACCGUAAGGACAUGUGGACAGUAUGGGAGUGAGAAUGUUGGCAUGAGUAGCGAGAUGUGGGUGAGAAUCCCACAGGCCGUAAACCCAAGGUUUCCAGGGGAAGGUUCGUCCGCCCUGGGUUAGUCGGGACCUAAGCUGAGGCCGAAAGGCGUAGGUGAUGGACAACAGGUUGAUAUUCCUGUACUACCGAUAACCGUUUGAGAGAAGGGAUGACACAGUAGGAUAAGCUAAGCACACUGUUGGUUAUGUGUGCCCAAGCAUUGAGGCAGUCAAAGUAGGCAAAUCCGCUUUGAUAAUGCUGGGAUGUGAUGGGGAGCGAAAUUUAGUAGCGAAGUAGCUGAUUUCACACUGUCAAGAAAAGUCUCUAUCGAGGUUAAAGGUACCCGUACCGCAAACCGACACCGGCGGGUGAGGAGAGUAUCCUAAGGCCAGCGAGAGAACUGUUGUUAAGGAACUCGGCAAAAAGACCCCGUAACUUAGGGAUAAGGGGUUCCAUCAUCGGGGGGACGGAGAGAAUAGGCCCAAGCGACUGUUUACCAAAAACAUAGGUUUCUGCUAAGUCGCAAGACGAUGUAUAGGAGCUGACGCCUGCCCGGUGCUGGAAGGUUAAGGGGAUCUGUUAGAGCAAUCGAAGCAGUGAACUUAAGCCCCAGUAAACGGCGGCCGUAACUAUAACGGUCCUAAGGUAGCGAAAUUCCUUGUCGGGUAAGUUCCGACCCGCACGAAAGGCGUAACGAUUUGGGCACUGUCUCAACAACAGACUCGGUGAAAUUGUAAUUCCGGUGAAGAUGCCGGAUACCUGCGACAGGACGGAAAGACCCCAUGGAGCUUUACUGUAGCUUGACAUUGGGUCUUGGUACUACAUGUACAGGAUAGGUGGGAGGCUUUGAAACCAGGACGCCAGUUUUGGCGGAGCCAUCCUUGGGAUACCACCCUUGUAGUACUGGGACUCUAACCAUAGGCCAUGAAUCUGGUCUUGGGACACUGUCAGGUGGGCAGUUUGACUGGGGCGGUCGCCUCCCAAAAGG